CAAAGAGUAGUUUAAUUUAAAAUAAUAAUUUUGGAGAUUAUUGAUAAGACUUUCUUUUCUUUGA
rnacentral:tRNA from 1 species